rnacentral:misc_RNA from 1 species
GGAAUAUUGGUCAAUGGACGCGAGUCUGAACCAGCCAAGUAGCGUGAAGGAUGACUGCCCUAUGGGUUGUAAACUUCUUUUAUAUGGGAAUAAAGUGGUCCACGUGUGGAUUUUUGUAUGUACCAUAUGAAUAAGGAUCGGCUAACUCCGUGCCAGCAGCCGCGGUAAUACGGAGGAUCCGAGCAUUAUCCGGAUUUAUUGGGUUUAAAGGGAGCGUAGGCGGAUUGUUAAGUCAGUUGUGAAAGUUUGCGGCUCAACCGUAAAAUUGCAGUUGAUACUGGCAGUCUUGAGUGCAGUAGAGGUGGGCGGAAUUCGUGGUGUAGCGGUGAAAUGCUUAGAUAUCACGAAGAACUCCGAUUGCGAAGGCAGCUCACUGGAGUGUAACUGACGCUGAUGCUCGAAAGUGUGGGUAUCAAACAGGA